rnacentral:rRNA from 1 species
UACGUAGGGUGCGAGCGUUAAUCGGAAUUACUGGGCGUAAAGGGCGCGUAGGCGGCUUUGCAAGUGACGGGUGAAAGCCCUCGGCUUAACCGAGGAACUGCCUGUCAGACUGUAAGGCUUGAGACCGGGAGAGGUGAGUGGAAUUCCCAGUGUAGCGGUGAAAUGCGUAGAUAUUGGGAGGAACACCAGUGGCGAAGGCGGCUCACUGGACCGGAACUGACGCUGAGGCGCGAAAGCGUGGGGAGCAAACAGG